UAGUCAUAUGCUUGUCUCAGAGAUUAAGCCAUGCAUGUCUAAGUAUAAGCAAUCUUAUACAGCGAAACUGCGAAUGGCUCAUUAAAUCAGUUACAGUCUACUUGAUCGUAUCUUCUUACAUGGAUAACCGUAGUAAAUCUAGAGCUAAUACAUGCUAAAAAUCCUGGACGCGGCAACGCGGAAGGGACGAGUUUAUUAGAUUAAAAACCGACACCUCUCCGCGAGGGGAGGUAGCACAGGUGAUUCACAGUAACCGAUCGGAUCGUCGGCCCCGCCGACGACGAUGCAUACGAGUUUCUGCCCUAUCAACUUUAGAUGGUAGAGUAUCGGUCUACCAUGGUCGUAACGGGUGACGGGGGACUAGGGUUCGAUUCCGGAGAGGGAGCCUGAGAAACGGCUACCACUUCCAAGGAAGGCAGCAGGCGCGCAAAUUACCCAAUCCCGACACGGGGAGGUAGUGACAAGAAAUACCAUUGUAAUGUCUCCUCGGGAGGCUUACGAUUGGAAUGAGUACAAUUUAAAUCCCUAAACGAGUAACGAUU
rnacentral:rRNA from 1 species